UACGAAGGGGGCUAGCGUUGUUCGGAAUUACUGGGCGUAAAGCGCGCGUAGGCGGCGUAUUAAGUCAGGGGUGAAAGGCCUGGGCUCAACCCAGGAACUGCCUUUGAGACUGAUGCGCUCGAGUCCGGAAGAGGGUAGUGGAAUUCCCAGUGUAGAGGUGAAAUUCGUAGAUAUUGGGAAGAACACCGGUGGCGAAGGCGGCUACCUGGUCCGGUACUGACGCUGAAGUGCGAAAGCGUGGGGAGC
rnacentral:rRNA from 1 species